rnacentral:tRNA from 1 species
CAGGGCGUAGCUUAGCUGGCCUAAAGCGCAGGACUGGGGGUCCUGAGACCGGAGGUUCAAAUCCUCUCGCCCUGACCA